CUUUUCUUUAGCCGCCUCCAUCCCCAAUUUUCCCUCUUUCUCUCUAACAGUCAAAAACUCAAAAACACAACUCCAAUCCUCUCUAUAAUUUUUUGUUCUCUCUAUAUCUCUUCACCGCAUGCUUGGACCUUGUCAAUAUCAAAAUCAAAUUUAGAUCUCUUUAUUUCUCUCCUAUCCCUCAGAUCUGAAAAUUUUCGUUUCCUUUUUCUGAUUUUGCCCUCUGAAAUUCCGGCCGAAAUGAACGAACUAUUAGCCUCCGAUUUCGGCUUCAAACCCCAAGGCAAAUCGGCUCCGAUGGCCGGUUCCAAAUCCACCUCCACCGUCGGAAGAUCGUCAACGCGUCCUCACUCCUCCUUCAAUUCCUUCAAGGAUCAUCGUCGGACGCCACCACCACCACGACUUCUUCCUCCUUCAAUUUCGAUAUGUUUCGCAAUUUCGGUGCUCCGGUGAAGUCUUCGUCUUCAUCAUUUUGCCUUUUUGGAUAGCUCCAAUUUAUUUGGCAUCAUGCAUAAAGCAGGGAAUGGAUUUGCUAGAGAUUUUAUUGAGCAAGCAACCUGUUCAAUUGAGCAGCUUGAGUAUUUAUUGUAUCCACAUCACCCCUCCUAAGUCCCCUGAUCUUACAGGACCAACACUAGUGCUUAGGUGUGAACCUUCAAUGAUCCAGAAUGCUCUUAAGGUCCAACAUGAUUUUGAUCAUCACCUCAGUAUCAGCAUGUUGCAACUGUUAAUGCACAUGUGGGAGUAAGUGCUAGGUCCGUGUUUGUGUGUGUGUGCUUGGUGUUUGAAAAGUGUGUAGAUUAAAGUAUUGUAGACAAAAACCAGUGUGUAUGCGUGUGUGUGUGUAGCAAAGAGUCACAACAGAAUGCAUGUGUGUGUGUGAAGCAAAGAGUCACAACAGAAUGAAUGUGUGUGUGUGUGAGGGAGAGGGUUUAGAGUUUAUUGCUAGUGGGACUCUCUCUCUCUCUCUCGUAAUGAUUUUGAAAUAUUUUUCUAAAUAA